AGCUCCAAUAGCGUAUAUUAAAGUUGCUGCAGUUAAAAAGCUCGUAGUUGGAUCUCGGGUUUAGGCCGGCGGUUUCGCCUUAUCGGUAACGACUGCCGGUCCUGACCUGUCUGCCGGUUUUCCCCUGGUGCUCUUUGCCGAGUGUCUGGGGUGGCUGGAACGUUUACUUUGAAAACAUUAGAGUGUUCAAAGCAGGCCUGUUUAGCCUGAAUAAUAGUGCAUGGAAUAAUGGAAGAGGACCUCGGUUCUAUUUUGUUGGUUUUCGGAACUUGAGGUAAUGAUUAAGAGGGACUGACGGGGGCAUUCGUAUUACGGCGUUAGAGGUGAAAUUCUUGGAUCGUCGUAAGACGAACGACUGCGAAAGCAUUUGCCAAGAAUGUUUUCG
rnacentral:rRNA from 1 species